GCCCGGAUGAUCCUCAGUGGUCUGGGGUGCGGGCUUCAAACCUGUAGGUGUUUGGGACAUGGGUG